GACAAUCUAAGUUGUACAAAUAUGACUUGAAUUAACAUACUUUUUAGUCAAUAGCACAUUUAUAAAGCAACAAGCCUUGGAGAAAUACACUUCAUGAACUUACUACUGAUUUUAUUACACAUUUUAAAAUUUUUAAAAGCCAUUUUAUUCAUGACUGUAUAUAAAAAUUAUCUAUAUAAACAUUUCUCCCUUGUUCUUAUAAUUUCCUCAUACAGAUAAUGGACUUCAAUUUCUGUUGAUUUUCAAGAAAACUUGAAAACAUUGGGAAAAAUCUUCAAGGACUGUAAGACAACAGUCAUUACCAGAACAAACCCGUGAGGAUGAAUAUUUUAACCACAGUUUCUCCACUUAAGAGGAAACCAAUCUCUCAGAUCACUAAGAAUCAAACAGACUCUCCUGGGACAUGUGACACUCCUUACACCAGAUCAGCUAUUAAGAGGCAGCGACUGUUCAGCAUGGGAAGGAACAUCUACAUAUCCACAUCAGCUCUUGGCUACCAAGAAAGAGGGAUAAAGGUUUGAAAGAGAAAGCUUGCUGUAUCCUCACCCAUGGCAAGUUCCCAUGGCUACCUGCUCAGUGAGCCCCAUGCUACCCCUUGUUCUUGCAAGGUCCCUGCCAGCCCUCCUCAGAAAGAGAUCCAGUGAACAAUUUUGAGUAAUUUGAGAUUGUGAGCUCUACAAGCUGGACUGGAGCAGAGAGUUCAAUACCCUGCAGCGAACCUGGAGGACGCCUGGCAGGAGCUUGGCCACUUGGCCAGAGCUGAAGCCCUUGGCUCUCGUGCUAGGCAUCUGACCUGUACCCUAUUUCAUGUCUAUAAUUUAUCUUCAAACAACAUCAGGGAAAUCAGUAGGAGAGGGAAGGCUGCUGGAUGUGUGUGCUGAACUGUCUAGGAACCUGCCAUUCCAACUGCGCUCAGGACUCACUCUUCUACUACUGCCUCCAGUCAACCAAUAAAAUAAAAUUAAAACCAAAAAACCCAAACAAAACCCCAACAAAAUACUUUUCUUUGAACUGUUUGAAACAUUUUUAAAAAGUAAAAGAGUAAAUAUAAUGGAGGUGGUUCCAGAAGAAGCUAUCAGCAUGAUCAAAAAGGCAAAGAGAAAGUACUGAGUUUCACAAGAUAUUGUCAUCAUCAGCAAGCUCAACAUAAGGAGAUUUCUGCUCCAAGCUGUUCAUACAGCACGGGGGAAGAACAAAGGGACAUUAAUUAUGCUGUUGCAGGUACUGCACAGGCUGACCAGCAUCAGAGAAGUGUUGGAGAGCCUGAGGCCGCCAGUCUCUUGCUCCACCAGAUGCCCUGUCUACAGCCACCCACCGCCCACCACAUCUGCUGCAGGUUCUGCAGAAGCCAGCGUCAAAUACUUGGGGAAAGUUGAGUUAUCACAACAUGACACAAAUGAGAAUUUAGCUUUAGCUGGUUUGUGAGUACAGCUGCUACCCAUAAACCUAUCUUUUUCACACUCAGGUGAUCUUUGACAUUACCAUGCCCUACAAAUAUCUGCAACUUGUUUGGCACAUGACAUUUCAAAAACAAGAACAGCUUUGUAAUUAUAGUUUUGUUUUGUAUACAAGUAGUAGUAACCACUAAAUGUAUUUAAGGCGACUUGCUGUAUAUGCAAUUCUAUCAAGCACAUAAACAUCCCUCCCCUAAACAAAGCCUAUUUGCCUUCAUUAACCAUCCUGGUGUCCCCCCAGCUUUUUGGAGGGCACAUAACCAUCUCCUCUCUGUCACUCCUUGCCUACACCAGCACCCUCCUGUCUGUCAGUGCCUCACUCCUUCUCCUUUGACAUCUCUGAAGUCUCCACCACAGACUUUGUACCUUUUAAAUAGUAAUAGAUGCAUAGAAGAGUUUCAGCAUCUACAUAUGCUAAGUGCCUUCGGUUCCUCAGUAAAGUCACCCUACAGGAAACAAAUGCAAAUUACUGCCUUCUAGACAUAAGGCACGGUCCUGUGGACCUUGUUAUUAAAUCAUUAACCUUCGCCUUUCAUUUUACCUAUGUUUUCAGUAUUCAAAUGUUGCUUGAAAUAGACAACCUUAGUACUUCCCCAUGCUGCAAUUUGUUACCUAGUGCUUCACUCCAAUGAUUGAAGUGACAAACAAAUGAGAGUACCAGUUCUCAAGCAGCAAGAAAGCAGUUCAAUAAUUAUUGCAAAAGUUAACAAUGGUGUCCCCAUAAAACCUUGAAGAAAUCUGUUUAUCAUUCUUAUGCAAUCCCUAAACCAAGAUUUCCAAAGAGCCCUAAAUACCAUUUUCUCUGCCUUCAAGGCUAUAACUCUGCACCCUACUGAUGCUACAGUUUAUCAGAAGAUGAUGCUAACCACAGUUGGUAUCUUAUCUCUGUAAUCCCCCGGAGUUAGGCCAAGGUUAGUGUUGUACUAUGGGUAUGUAAAAAUGUGUUUUGCUGUGGAAACAACCACAUGUAAUUUGGUGAAAAGCCUGAAUAAUUGGUAUGCAAUAAUUAUGGUUGCUAGUAUCAAAUGUUUGUUUUCCUGGGGGGAAAAGGCAAACCAGAAUUUUG